UGACAUGAACACAGGUGCUCAGAUAGUU
rnacentral:piRNA from 1 species